CGUAGAUCCUAGUGCUUUUCUCCAGCAGGAGUCAGACCCUGCCCUGGGCUUCGCUGCCUCUUCGGCUCCAAGGCUUCUCUCUCGGCCCAGGUCAGCCUGAUACAGUCUCACGGGCACCCUUGGGUGGUGUCACCGGCUGCCAUUCGUCAUCCUUCCAAACGUGGAGUCUCAUCCAGAACAGCCUCCUGGGCGUCUCCAGUGUGACUCCUGCAUCCUGUCCUCUUGGGAAGGAUCUUGCCAAGAUGCCUGGGCCGCCAUCAAACUGCAAUCCCCCUGCCUCAGCCUCCUGAGAAACUGAUCCUGCCUGUGCAUUAUCACACCUUGCAUGUUGCUUCUGAUGGCAUCUUGUCCCUUUGUCACUUUCCAGGACUCUUCAUUGUAUCUGUAAAUGCAUGGAUCACAUGACCACAGGUUCUAUGUUGGGGGCGGCCCACAGCAGGGCUGUGGAUGUUCUUCUUGCUGACCUUACACACGGUGCCUGGCUUCCCUGUGUUGUGGGCGCCUUGAAGUGGGACCAGCUUUCUACAGUGGCAUCCUCUAAGGCACCUGCGGGCGGACCCCUCCAGGGAUUGUGUUUGCUUCUGCCGCACCUGGAGCUGGCUGCUUUGGAACAGUGUGCAUUUGUGUGUGCAUGCAUGCGUGACUUGUGGUUAGAAAUUGAGUUAUUUUGUCCCUUUGCUUCGGGCUGAGGCUCG
rnacentral:lncRNA from 1 species